rnacentral:rRNA from 1 species
GACGAACGCUGGCGGCGUGCUUAACACAUGCAAGUCGAACGCUGAAGACCUGGCUUUUGUUGGGUUGGAUGAGUGGCGAACGGGUGAGUAACACGUGAGUAACCUGCCCUCUUCUUUGGGAUAACGCCCGGAAACGGGUGCUAAUACUGGAUAUUCACUGAUCUUCGCAUGGGGGUUGGUGGAAAGGUUUGUUCUGGUGGGGGAUGGGCUCGCGGCCUAUCAGCUUGUUGGUGGGGUGAUGGCCUACCAAGGCUUUGACGGGUAGCCGGCCUGAGAGGGUGACCGGUCACAUUGGGACUGAGAUACGGCCCAGACUCCUACGGGAGGCAGCAGUGGGGAAUAUUGCACAAUGGGCGAAAGACUGAUGCAGCGACGCCGCGUGAGGGAUGGAGGCCUUCGGGUUGUAAACCUCUUUCGCUCAUGGUCAAGCCGCAACUGUGGGUUGUGGUGAGGGUAGUGGGUAAAGAAGCGCCGGCUAACUACGUG